GACGAACGCUGGCGGCGUGCCUAACACAUGCAAGUCGAGCGAGUGGAUCUCCUUCGGGAGAGAGGCUAGCGGCGGACGGGUGAGUAACACGUGGGCAACCUGCCUCAUAGAGGGGAAUAGCCUCCCGAAAGGGAGAUUAAUACCGCAUAAGAUUGUAGCUUCGCAUGAAGUAGCAAUUAAAGGAGCAAUCCGCUAUGAGAUGGGCCCGCGGCGCAUUAGCUAGUUGGUGAGGUAACGGCUCACCAAGGCGACGAUGCGUAGCCGACCUGAGAGGGUGAUCGGCCACAUUGGGACUGAGACACGGCCCAGACUCCUACGGGAGGCAGCAGUGGGGAAUAUUGCACAAUGGGGGAAACCCUGAUGCAGCAACGCCGCGUGAGUGAUGACGGCCUUCGGGUUGUAAAGCUCUGUCUUCAGGGACGGUAAUGACGGUACCUGAGGAGGAAGCCACGGCUAACUACGUGCCAGCCGCCGCAGUAACAC
rnacentral:rRNA from 1 species